rnacentral:rRNA from 1 species
CCUGACGCAGCAACGCCGCGUGAAGGAUGAAGGGUUUCGGCUCGUAAACUUCUAUCAAUAGGGAAGAAAGAAAUGACGGUACCUAAAUAAGAAGCCCCGGCUAACUACGUGCCAGCAGCCGCGGUAAUACGUAGGGGGCAAGCGUUAUCCGGAAUUACUGGGUGUAAAGGGAGCGUAGGCGGCAUGGUAAGCCAGAUGUGAAAGCCUUGGGCUUAACCCGAGGAUUGCAUUUGGAACUAUCAAGCUAGAGUACAGGAGAGGAAAGCGGAAUUCCUAGUGUAGCGGUGAAAUGCGUAGAUAUUAGGAAGAACACCAGUGGCGAAGGCGGCUUUCUGGACUGAAACUGACGCUGAGGCUCGAAAGCGUGGGGAGCAAACAGGAUUAGAUACCCUGGUAGUCCACGCCGUAAACGAUGAGUGCUAGGUGUCGGGGAGGAAUCCUCGGUGCCGCAGCUAACGCAAUAAGCACUCCACCUGGGGAGUACGACCGCAAGGUUGAAACUCAAAGGAAUUGACGG